rnacentral:rRNA from 1 species
AUACGGAGGGUGCAAGCGUUAUCCGGAAUCAUUGGGUUUAAAGGGUCCGCAGGCGGAUUAAUAAGUCAGUGGUGAAAUCCUCUCGCUCAACGAGAGAACUGCCAUUGAAACUGUUAGUCUUGAAUUCGGUCGAAGUAGGCGGAAUGUGUCAUGUAGCGGUGAAAUGCAUAGAUAUGACACAGAACACCGAUAGCGAAGGCAGCUUACUAGACCUGGAUUGACGCUCAUGGACGAAAGCGUGGGGAGCGAACAGGAUUAGAAACCCGGGUAGUCC